UGCAGCAGCCAAAUCACUCUGCAGCUCACCACUGGCAGCCCACUGAAGCUCAGCAGGUGUGAGCCUGGUCAGUACCUGGAUGGGAGACCUCCUGGGAAAAAGGUUGCUGCUAGAA
rnacentral:rRNA from 1 species